UACGGAGGGUGCAAGCGUUGUCCGGAUUCACUGGGUUUAAAGGGUGCGUAGGCGGAUAGGUAAGUCCGUGGUGAAAUCCUGCAGCUUAACUGCAGAACUGCCAUGGAUACUAUUUAUCUUGAAUGUCGUGGAGGUUAGCAGAAUAUGUCAUGUAGUGGUGAAAUGCGUAGAGAUCGGGAGGAACGCCCGUGGCGAAGGCGGCUCACUGGGCCGGUCCUGACGCUGAGACGCGAAGGCGUGGGGAGCGAACGGG
rnacentral:rRNA from 1 species